rnacentral:rRNA from 1 species
UGGGGAAUAUUGCGCAAUGGGGGCAACCCUGACGCAGCCAUGCCGCGUGAAUGAAGAAGGCCUUCGGGUUGUAAAGUUCUUUCGGUAGCGAGGAAGGCACUUAGUUUAAUAAACUAGGUGAUUGACGUUAACUACAGAAGAAGCACCGGCUAACUCCGUGCCAGCAGCCGCGGUAAUACGGAGGGUGCGAGCGUUAAUCGGAAUAACUGGGCGUAAAGGGCACGCAGGCGGUGACUUAAGUGAGGUGUGAAAGCCCCGGGCUUAACCUGGGAAUUGCAUUUCAUACUGGGUCGCUAGAGUACUUUAGGGAGGGGUAGAAUUCCACGUGUAGCGGUGAAAUGCGUAGAGAUGUGGAGGAAUACCGAAGGCGAAGGCAGCCCCUUGGGAAUGUACUGACGCUCAUGUGCGAAAGCGUGGGGAGCAAACAGGAUUAGAUACCCUGGUAGUCCACGCUGUAAACGAUGUCGAUUUGGGGGUUGGGCUUUGAGCUUGGCGCCCGUAGCUAACGUGAUAAAUCGACCGCCUGGGGAGUACGGCCGCAAGGUUA